UUUGACCUCAAAUCAGGUAGGACUACCCGCUGAACUUAAGCAUAUCAAUAAGCGGAGGAAAAGAAACUAACAAGGAUUCCCCUAGUAACGGCGAGUGAAGAGGGAAAAGCUCAAAUUUGAAAUCUGGCAGUCUAUGGCUGUCCGAGUUGUAAUCUAGAGAAGUGUUUUCCGUGCUGGACCGUGUACAAGUCCUUUGGAACAAGGCGUCAUAGAGGGUGAGAAUCCCGUCUACGACACGGACUCCCAGUGCUUUGUGAUACACUCUCAACGAGUCGAGUUGUUUGGGAAUGCAGCUCAAAAUGGGUGGUAAAUUCCAUCUAAAGCUAAAUAUGGGCGAAAGACCGAUAGCGAACAAGUACCGUGAGGGAAAGAUGAAAAGCACUUUGGAAAGAGAGUUAAACAGUACGUGAAAUUGUUGAAAGGGAAACGCUUGAAGUCAGUCGCGUCUUCAGAAACUCAGCCUGGCUUCUGCCUGGUGUACUUUUCUGUUGGACGGGCCAGCAUCAGUUUUGGCUGCUAGAAAAAGGUGAGAGGAAGGUAGCACCACUCGUGGUGUGUUUAUAGCCUCUCAUCGUAUGUGGCAGCUGGGACUGAGGACUGCAGCACGCCUUCAAUGGCCGGGGUUCGCCCACGUAACGUGCUUAGGAUGCUGGCGUAAUGGCUUUAAACGACCCGUCUUGAAACACGGACCAAGGAGUCUAACAUGCCUGCGAGUAUUUGGGUGGUAAACCCAUAUGCGGAAUGAAAGUGAACGGUUGGGACUUCUGUCAUGGAAGGCACCGACGCCCGGACCAGACCUAUUGUGACGGAUCCGAGGUAGAGCAUGUAUGUUGGGACCCGAAAGAUGGUGAACUAUGCCUGAGUAGGGUGAAGCCAGAGGAAACUCUGGUGGAGGCUCGUAGCGAUUCUGACGUGCAAAUCGAUCGUCGAACUUGGGUAUAGGGGCGAAAGACUAAUCGA
rnacentral:rRNA from 1 species